rnacentral:lncRNA from 1 species
UUUCCCUUUCUCUCCACCUGCAAGGGACACUGCGCCAGAGGAGUAAAAUUCCUGUCUAGCUCAGCAGUUCUAAAGGGGAGCAAAGCCUCCUGGGCACUAUUUGGACAGAGAGAGACGGGCUUUCGAGUUUUGGUGGAGUUUGGACAGACCGAGCAUCUACUGCAGAAAUCAUGGAUGAAGAAAUGAGUGCCUGUCUGCCCUGAACAUACACACUGUCCAUUGAGUCUCCUGUAGAGUUGAUGUACAGAAUAGAGUGGUGAUGAGGAGCUUUGGAUCUGAGGGGAGAGGCAGACCUAGGUUUGAAUCCCAGAAGUGUCACCAAACAGAUAACCUGACCUCAAAGCCUCAGUAAUCUCAUCUGUGUCAUCGGGAAAAUCAAGACGGUGACCACAUAGGGUUGCUGGGAAGAUUCUACAAGGACAGUCUUGCACACACCAAGUGGUCAGUAGAUGCCAGUUAUGUCACUCAUAUAAAGACC